UGUACCUGAGAAGUAAUUUUAUUCUGGUCUUUGGCCAUGCAAUUAUCGGGAGACCGUUUCGUUUAUUUUUGUAUAAUUGUGUGGGUUCCCCUUACAUGAGAACUAUUUCUGCUACAUAUUCCUCUAUACAUAUACAAACAAAAAUUGUAUUUUGUAUUUAGCGUUACGUUCCUGCAAAGAGAAAAAUAAGGAAAAUUCUGCAAAACAUGGAAGACUCAUGACCCACUUUAAAAACAUACCUGGAUACAUCACAUGAACUCAAGACCAUGACUAUGGAGGAAGAUUUAACACUUGGCAACUCUUACAACAACAACAACAGCAACAGGGAAAAACAACAACAACAACAACAACAACCAAAGAGUGCAAAAAGAACUAAUGCAUUCUCUAGGUAUGCCUGGAUGGAGCCUCUAAGACCUAACAGGAUGUCUGAGAUUCCAGGGAAGUGGCCUGUGAUCUGUCAGUAAACAAAUAAGAAGCUAAUACAGCUUUGUUGUGUUUUCUGAUUGGCAUGGUUCUGAACUAUCUCCUACUUGUAGUUGCAGACAAAGAAACAGGAGAUGAAUUACCAUGUUCUAGGACUUUGUGUUCCUUUCCAAUUCAAACUGCAAUAAGAAAUAAAAAUGGUUAGGCUUCCAGUGUGUAGAUUAUAUAACGUGUCUCCUCUCUUUGGUGGUUUUGUCUUGUUUUGUUUUUUGUCUUUUAAAGAGAAAAAUGAAUAAAAUGAAGGGAUAUUUUAGAAUGACUGGCUCCCUCAAUGGGCCUUAUUGCAAGUACAGCUGAACCCUGGCUCUUCUGAUUCAAGAAUAUCUUUACUAUUUGACGGUUUCAUUGUUUUUAUUUAUAUUUCUAUUUUUGACCCAAACAGAAAGAUCUUAUAUAAGCUACCUGUUUAUCCAUUGUAGAAAUGCAACUAUUUUCAAUUCUCCCUGCUGCCGAGAAUAAUAAUGAGGACCCAGAAGAUCACAAUUCUGAGAUAUCUGAGGUUUAUCUGCCUGAAUAGCCUGGUUCUCUCUCCCAGCAUUAGGAUUUAUAGUUCAUCUUCUGCCUUUUUGUUUUCAAACUUGUUCAUGAAUCAUAGGUUCAGAACAAAACUGUACUGUUAUUAAGAGCAAUCUGCAAACAACUACUCUAUAGUGAACUUAUAACAGAAGGGUGCUCAUUUGAUAUUACAUAGUGGCAACUAUGAAAGAGGCAACUGUUAGUUAUAACAAAGCUGGAAGGGAUAGGAUUAGGUGAAUAUUUGGGAAAUUUUAUACUAACAGAGUUAAUAUCAAGU
rnacentral:lncRNA from 1 species